rnacentral:misc_RNA from 1 species
AUUUUAAUAUCAAGAUUGUAAGAUAUCGUCUCAGGAAAAUAUAUCUAACAAGAUAAUAUAUCAAAUAAGCAUAAAUGGGUAAUCUACCAUCAUAUAAAUGAAAUCCAGAACAUGGCUUCAAAUUAUUGUUGCAUUCUCAAUCACAGUCAUGGUCAAUGUAAAAAUGUCUCAAAAGUAAACCACUGUAGACAAUAAAAAGUUAUGACCAUUGCAGAGUAGAAAGUUUCUUUUUCUUUUAGUUUAUAGGACAGACAA